CAACCGCCCCUGGCUGCCCGCGGGUGCGGUGGCGAGUGGCGCAGCCUUUGCCCAGGGCUGGCACGGUCCCUUCUCCUGACUGCGUGCCGGCUGAAACCUUUGUUUCAAGGCCUAGCUCUGUUGCCGUCCUCUAAAAAGGCCUCCCACCAUCCCCUCAGCUGCAAGGAAGCUCUUCCCUCAGAUCUCUCAGAAGACCUGGUCUGGACCUCACCUGUGUACACAGUUCACCUCGAGCCAACCUUGUUUGUGCACGUGCCUCAUUCUCCCUAAUGGAUGACAAGCAAGGACUGUCCUUGUCAUUUUUGUGUUCCUGUCAUCCUUCCUAGUGCCUUGAAUGUAGGAGAUGACCAACCAACAUUCGUUUAAUGAAAUCGUAUGGACGGUGGCACACAA